rnacentral:rRNA from 4 species
UUAAAUUGAAGAGUUUGAUCAUGGCUCAGAUUGAACGCUGGCGGCAGGCCUAACACAUGCAAGUCGAACGGUAACAGGAAGCAGCUUGCUGCUUUGCUGACGAGUGGCGGACGGGUGAGUAAUGUCUGGGAAACUGCCUGAUGGAGGGGGAUAACUACUGGAAACGGUGGCUAAUACCGCAUAACGUCGCAAGACCAAAGAGGGGGACCUUCGGGCCUCUUGCCAUCAGAUGUGCCCAGAUGGGAUUAGCUUGUUGGUGAGGUAACGGCUCACCAAGGCGACGAUCCCUAGCUGGUCUGAGAGGAUGACCAGCCACACUGGAACUGAGACACGGUCCAGACUCCUACGGGAGGCAGCAGUGGGGAAUAUUGCACAAUGGGCGCAAGCCUGAUGCAGCCAUGCCGCGUGUAUGAAGAAGGCCUUCGGGUUGUAAAGUACUUUCAGCGGGGAGGAAGGUGUUGUGGUUAAUAACCACAGCAAUUGACGUUACCCGCAGAAGAAGCACCGGCUAACUCCGUGCCAGCAGCCGCGGUAAUACGGAGGGUGCAAGCGUUAAUCGGAAUUACUGGGCGUAAAGCGCACGCAGGCGGUCUGUCAAGUCGGAUGUGAAAUCCCCGGGCUCAACCUGGGAACUGCAUUCGAAACUGGCAGGCUUGAGUCUUGUAGAGGGGGGUAGAAUUCCAGGUGUAGCGGUGAAAUGCGUAGAGAUCUGGAGGAAUACCGGUGGCGAAGGCGGCCCCCUGGACAAAGACUGACGCUCAGGUGCGAAAGCGUGGGGAGCAAACAGGAUUAGAUACCCUGGUAGUCCACGCCGUAAACGAUGUCUACUUGGAGGUUGUGCCCUUGAGGCGUGGCUUCCGGAGCUAACGCGUUAAGUAGACCGCCUGGGGAGUACGGCCGCAAGGUUAAAACUCAAAUGAAUUGACGGGGGCCCGCACAAGCGGUGGAGCAUGUGGUUUAAUUCGAUGCAACGCGAAGAACCUUACCUGGUCUUGACAUCCAC